rnacentral:tRNA from 1 species
GCCGUGGUGGUGAAAUUGGUAGACACGCUAUCUUGAGGGGGUAGUGCCCUAAGGGCAUGCGGGUUCAAGUCCCGCCCACGGCACCA